GCCGGUGUAGCUCAGUUGGCUAGAGCAGCUGAUUUGUAAUCAGCAGGUCGGGGGUUCGAAUCCCUCCACCGGCUCAA
rnacentral:tRNA from 1 species